rnacentral:rRNA from 1 species
AGUGAACGCUGGCGGUAGGCCUAACACAUGCAAGUCGAACGGCAGCACAGUAAGAGCUUGCUCUUACGGGUGGCGAGUGGCGGACGGGUGAGGAAUACAUCGGAAUCUACUUUUUCGUGGGGGAUAACGUAGGGAAACUUACGCUAAUACCGCAUACGACCUACGGGUGAAAGCAGGGGAUCUUCGGACCUUGCGCGAUUGGACGAGCCGAUGUCGGAGUAGCUAGUUGGCGGGGUAAAGGCCCACCAAGGCGACGAUCCGUAGCUGGUCUGAGAGGAUGAUCAGCCACAGUGGAACUGAGACACGGUCCAGACUCCUACGGGAGGCAGCAGUGGGGAAUAUUGGACAAUGGGCGCAAGACUGAUCCAGCCACACCGCGUGGGUGAAGAAGGCCUGCGGGUUGUAAAGCCGUUUUGUUGGGAAAGAAAAGCAGCAGGUUAAUACCCCGCUGUUCUGACGGUACCCAAAGAGUAAGCACCGGCUACCUUCGU